CAUCCAGACUCCUACGGGAGGCAGCAGUGGGGAAUAUUGCACAAUGGGGGGAACCCUGAUGCAGCGACGCCGCGUGGGCGAGGAAGUAUUUCGGUAUGUAAAUCCCUAUCGGCAGGGAAGAAGAAAUGACGGUACCUGAAUAAGAAGCCCCGGCUAACUACGGGCCAGCAGCCGCGGUAAUACGUAGGGGGCAAGCGUUAUCCGGAUUUACUGGGUGUAAAGGGAGCGUAGACGGCAGCGCAAGUCUGAAGUGAAGUGCCGGGGCUUAACCCCGGAACUGCUUUGGAAACUGAGCAGCUAGAGUGCAGGAGAGGUAAGUGGAAUUCCUAGUGUAGCGGUGAAAUGCAUAGAUAUUAGGAGGAACACCAGUGGCGAAGGCGGCUUACUGGACUGUAACUGACACUGAGGCUCGAAAGCGUGGGGAGCAAACAGGAUUAGAUACCCGUGUAU
rnacentral:rRNA from 1 species